CAGUAGCCGCGGUAAUACGAGGGGAGCUAGCGUUAUUCGGAAUUACUGGGCGUAAAGCGCACGUAGGCGGCUUUGUAAGUUAGAGGUGAAAGCCCAGAGCUCAACUCUGGAAUUGCCUUUAAGACUGCAUCGCUUGAAUCCAGGAGAGGUGAGUGGAAUUCCGAGUGUAGAGGUGAAAUUCGUAGAUAUUCGGAAGAACACCAGUGGCGAAGGCGGCUCACUGGACUGGUAUUGACGCUGAGGUGCGAAAGCGUGGGGAGCAAACAGGAUUAGAUACCCCUGUAGUCCCUGUCUCUUAUAC
rnacentral:rRNA from 1 species